GAAAGAUUUUACCUAUAACUUUAUUCUUCUUUCCAUUUUUUAUAGGUGUACAAAGCAAACUUCUAAUGCACUGCUGGUUUACAUUUCCUGUAUUUUCAGUCUAAACAAAAAUAAAAAGAACAAAACAGCUAAAAUGAUGAGGGAAAGCACAGAUCAUUCCUAAACAGUCAAUUCUAGAGCCAGUCCUUCAGUUCAAGAAUAACUCAACAGCCUAGAGAGAAGAAAAUAAGAAGCUAUAGUGAAAAAAAGAAGAAAAAUGAAAAGGUGACCACCAGGAGAAUGAAGUAUAUUGGAGAAGU